UUGAACGCUGGCGGCAUGCCUUACACAUGCAAGUCGAACGGUAGAGGAGCAAUCCUCGAGAGUGGCGAACGGGUGAGUAAUGUAUCGGAACGUGCCCAGUAGUGGGGGAUAGCCCGGCGAAAGCCGGAUUAAUACCGCAUACGACCUACGGGUGAAAGCGGGGGACCGUAAGGCCUCGCGCUAUUGGAGCGGCCGAUGUCAGAUUAGGUAGUUGGUGGGGUAAAGGCCUACCAAGCCUACGAUCUGUAGCUGGUCUGAGAGGACGACCAGCCACACUGGGACUGAGACACGGCCCAGACUCCUACGGGAGGCAGCAGUGGGGAAUUUUGGACAAUGGGCGCAAGCCUGAUCCAGCCAUGCCGCGUGCGGGAAGAAGGCCUUCGGGUUGUAAACCGCUUUUGUCAGGGAAGAAACGCCUUGAGAUAAUACCUCGGGGUAAUGACGGUACCUGAAGAAUAAGCACCGGCUAACUACGU
rnacentral:rRNA from 1 species